rnacentral:rRNA from 1 species
AUUGAACGCUGGCGGCAGGCUUAACACAUGCAAGUCGAGCGGAGUGAUGGUGCUUGCACUAUCACUUAGCGGCGGACGGGUGAGUAAUGCUUAGGAAUCUGCCUAUUAGUGGGGGACAACAUCUCGAAAGGGAUGCUAAUACCGCAUACGUCCUACGGGAGAAAGCAGGGGAUCACUUGUGACCUUGCGCUAAUAGAUGAGCCUAAGUCGGAUUAGCUAGUUGGUGGGGUAAAGGCCUACCAAGGCGACGAUCUGUAGCGGGUCUGAGAGGAUGAUCCGCCACACUGGGACUGAGGAACGGCCCAGACUCCUACGGGAGGCAGCAGUGGGGAAUAUUGGACAAUGGGGGGAACCCUGAUCCAGCCAUGCCGCGUGUGUGAAGAAGGCCUUAUGGUUGUAAAGCACUUUAAGCGAGGAGGAGGCUCUUUUGGUUAAUACCCAAGAUGAGUGGACGUUACUCGCAGAAUAAGCACCGGCUAACUCUGUGCCAGCCGCCGCAGUAA